rnacentral:ncRNA from 1 species
AAAGCACACAAAAUAUUAACCAGCAAAUAGAAAGCACUUUGUAGCAGGACAGUGGCCUUGGAAGUUGGAAUCUGCUAAGGAGUGUGUUAAUAACUCACCUGCCAAAUCAACUAGCCCUGAAAAUGGAUGGUGCUGGAGCAUCUGGCCCAU